CAGCAGCAAAUUGACUGAACGACUCAGCUCAUCGGCUACGCGGAACCGACUUGUCCUGCAACUUUCGGGCGAACAAGGCGUCGAGCGCGUCACUUCGGCCCAUCCUUCUCUCAACGUAUUCGGGAUCGUUUUUUUCUUUCUUUCUCUGCAGUAGGUGGAAGGCACAGGCGGAUGAAUAGAUGAAGAAAAGAAAAACUAAAAAAAAACUUGGGUUUCCUGUGCGCUGAUGGAUGAACCGAACAAGCAGACGUCUACGUUCCAGAUCGGACGAAAAAAAUAAAUAAAUAAAUCAACGAGAAAUAAAAAAUUGGUGGUGAACGUACAGCCGAUUGGCGUUCAAUAAAGAGAGUAAGAGGAACGAGGCUAUGAGCGAUGGAAAUUGGCCGUAACGAGGAAACAACAACGAAAAGAUUAAGAAAAAGAGAAGUCAUUCGGCCAUUUUGUUGUGUGUGUGUGUAUCGAUGCCGUCAUGCCGAAUAAUAAAUUACCGGUAAAUGAAA